rnacentral:rRNA from 1 species
AGUGAACGCUGGCGGUAGGCCUAACACGUGCAAGUCGAACGGCAGCACAGUAAGAGCUUGCUCUUACGGGUGGCGAGUGGCGGACGGGUGAGGAAUACAUCGGAAUCUACUUUUUCGUGGGGGAUAACGUAGGGAAACUUACGCUAAUACCGCAUACGACCUACGGGUGAAAGCAGGGGAUCUUCGGACCUUGCGCGAUUGAAUGAGCCGAUGUCGGAUUAGCUAGUUGGCGGGGUAAAGGCCCACCAAGGCGACGAUCCGUAGCUGGUCUGAGAGGAUGAUCAGCCACACUGUAACUGAGACACGGUCCAGACUCCUACGGGAGGCAGCAGUGGUGAAUAUUGGACAAUGGGCGCAAGCCUGAUCCAGCCAUACCGCGUGGGUGAAGAAGGCCUUCUGGUUGUAAAGCGCUUUUGUUGGGAAAGAAAAGCAGCAGGUUAAUACCCCGCUGUUCUGACGGUACCCAAAGAAUAAGCACCGGCUAACUUCGUG